GCAGAUGUAGCUGAGAAGGAUUAGCGCCACCCUGAAAACGUGGAGCACGUGGGUUCGAAUCCCUCCGUCUGCACCA
rnacentral:tRNA from 4 species